UACGUAGGGUGCGAGCGUUAAUCGGAAUUACUGGGCGUAAAGCGUGCGCAGGCGGUUUUGUAAGCCAGAUGUGAAAUCCCCGGGCUUAACCUGGGAACUGCAUUUGUGACUGCAUCGCUGGAGUGCGGCAGAGGGGGAUGGAAUUCCGCGUGUAGCAGUGAAAUGCGUAGAUAUGCGGAGGAGCACCGAUGGCGAAGGCAAUCCCCUGGGCCUGCACUGACGCUCAUGCACGAAAGCGUGGGGAGCAAACAGG
rnacentral:rRNA from 1 species